CGGGAGGUAAUGUCUGGGAAACGUAGCCUGAUGAGGGGGGGUAAUAACUGGAAACGGUAGCUAAUACCGCAUAACGUCGCAAGACCAAAGAGGGGGACCGUUCGGGCCUCAUGCCAUCAGAUGUGCCCAGAUGGGAUUAGCUAGUAGGUGGGGUAACGGCUCACCUAGGCGACGAUCCCUAGCUGGUCUGAGAGGAUGACCAGCCACACUGGAACUGAGACACGGUCCAG
rnacentral:rRNA from 1 species